rnacentral:misc_RNA from 1 species
GAUGAAUUAGGGUCUCCAGAGAU